rnacentral:rRNA from 1 species
UACAGAGGUCCCAAGCGUUGUUCGGAUUCACUGGGCGUAAAGGGGUGCGCAGGUGGCGCUUCAAGUUUGAUGUGAAAGCUUCGGGCUUAACCCGGAAAUGGCAUUGAAUACUGGAGUGCUGGAGGUUUGGAGGGGGGACUGGAAUUCCUGGUGUAGCGGUGAAAUGCGCAGAUAUCAGGAGGAACACCGGUGGCGAAGGCGGGUCUCUGGGCCGAUACUGACGCUGAGGAGCGAAAGCGUGGGGAGCGAACAGG